CAGAGAGAAAUUUGACUUCAAGAAAGGAAAUUGCCUCCAAGGAAGAACAAAAAGAAACCAAUGCCUCUCCAAAGGCUAUCACGAGGCUAGAUUGCUAACCCUCGUUAGCAAACAAGAAGAGACCAGACGGAGUCUCCCUCUGUUGCUGUGUCGCCCACGCUGGAGUGUAGUGGCACAACAUCUGCUCACUGCAACUUCUGACACUCAGGUUCAAGCUGUUCUCCUGCUCAGCCUUCCAAAUAGCUGGAACUACAGGCAUGUGCCACUACGCCUGUCUAAUUUUUUAUUUUUAGUAGAGAUGGGGUUUCACCAUGUUGGUCAGGCUGGUCUCAAACUCCUGACCUCGGGUGAUCCACCCUCUUCGGCCUCCCAACAAGCCAAAUUCUUGACUGAAAAUUUUAUCUAUUGUUAAUGGCACAAAUUAAUUACUAUAUAUUCCAUAAAGUCUUUCUUGACUCUCUCCACACUCCCUCCCUGGAGAGGUGAUUUCUCUUUACUCUUACCUUUUUAUCCUUGGUUAUUUUAUUAGCUCAUUUAUGAACUUGUUUAGAAACAGGUCCAUUCUUCUGAAUGUUAGCAGCCAUUUCUUAAUUUUUUCUCAUUUUUAUAUUCAACCAUGUUGAACAUGGUGAAAGAUCAAUAGAUAGCGAGGAAUAAAGGUUAAUACAAAUGAUAUUUCAUUCCAUGAUCUCGUUGGUUCAUUGAACCCAAUCACUCCUGUUAAUUAAAGCAAAGUUUCCUGGUGUUGCUAUAAUUUUUUAAAAUGUAAAAGUGCAAGAAAAAUUUUGGCGAAGAGAAAUUUGGUCAAGUAAUUUUCAAAAGAGAUAGGUAAGUUAGAUAAUAUUAAGCAUCACUGUAACUUUUCUAUUUUAUCAUCCAACAAAGCAUGAAGUGCUAUGUAAUAGGCAGUUUGAACCAUCUCCGAUAACAUACACCUGCACAAUAAGGCAAAACAGCAAAUACAUUGCCCAAGUAAAAAGAUUUGAAAAUGCAGUGUAAUCACAUAAAUGCUAAAUCAUUAGGCCCAAAACAUUCCCUGAAAUUUAUGUAGUAGAGAAAACGUAAGAGGCUCCCAUAACACUUUCUUCUCUAUGAAGCCUUUACCAAAUGAUGAGGACAAAAAAGAUAAUUACCUCCUAACCUAUUCUGAUUGAACAUGCAACUCUCUCCACUCGCCCCCCUCUUUUUCCUCAUCUGCACAUCAUAUAAAUGUAGUACUGUCUUUGGGUAGCUCCUUUACU
rnacentral:lncRNA from 10 species